AUAUUCUGUGCUGCUUAUGUCUUAUCAGCUAGUCAUAUCUUCAGAAACCUGCUGAGAGUUUGUUUUUGACCUUCAGGAAAAAUGUUGGAGAUAUUUUUUGGUGGAAGUGUGCUGUUUCUGCCAACACAAGAUCAUUUUGUUUUGUUGAGUAAAGGUCUCUUUCUGUAGCCCAGCUGUUCUGUGUCCAGCAUAGUCUCUGGCUUGUAGCUAUCUUCCUUUCUCAGCCUCUCAGAUGCUGGAAUUACAGGUGUAUACCACCAUACCCAUCACAAAAAUCACUUUUUAAAUUGUGCAGAGAGGAGGCCAGAUCUUGAUGAUGGUAGAUUUGACUUAGUAGAUUUAUACUGUUUGUCCUAUCCCUCUAGCAUAGAUUCCUGACAGAUGGCUUUUCUCCUUUAGUAACCAAACCAAAACAAGAACACACUUGCCCAAGUUCUCCUAAGGAUCAGCCAGGUUUUGGGAACACAGAAUGGUGUUAAGCUAAAGUGGUCUCUCAAGAGCUAGUACCCGGGGGCUGGUGAGAUGGCUCAGUGGGUAAGAGCACCCAACUGCUCUUCCGAAGGUCCUGAGUUCAAAUCCUAGCAACCACAUGAUGGCUCACAACUAUCCAUGAGAUCUGACUCCCUCUUCUGGAGUGUCUGAAGACAGCUGCAGUGUACUUACAUAUAAUAAAUAAAUAAAUCUNNNNNNNNNNNNNNNNNN
ensembl:sense_intronic Gm43138 predicted gene 43138